UACAGAGGUCCCAAGCGUUGUUCGGAUUCAUUGGGCGUAAAGGGUGCGUAGGCGGCGGUGCAAGUCCGAUGUGAAAUACCGGGGCUCAACCCCGGAACUGCAUUGGAUACUGCAUUGCUAGAGUGCUGGAGAGGGAACUGGAAUUUACGGUGUAGCAGUGAAAUGCGUAGAGAUCGUAAGGAAGACCAGUGGCGAAGGCGAGUUCCUGGACAGUUACUGACGCUGAGGCGCGAAAGCUAGGGGAGCAAACGGG
rnacentral:rRNA from 1 species